rnacentral:rRNA from 1 species
UACGUAGGGUGCGAGCGUUGUCCGGAAUUACUGGGCGUAAAGAGCUCGUAGGCGGUUUGUCGCGUCGUCCGUGAAAACUUGGGGCUCAACUCCAAGCUUGCGGGCGAUACGGGCAGACUUGAGUACUGCAGGGGAGACUGGAAUUCCUGGUGUAGCGGUGAAAUGCGCAGAUAUCAGGAGGAACACCGGUGGCGAAGGCGGGUCUCUGGGCAGUAACUGACGCUGAGGAGCGAAAGCGUGGGGAGCGAACAGG